rnacentral:rRNA from 1 species
UGUAUUAAUUCCAGUUUAUCCUGCUGGAGGCUGCCGCUAUCUGGUUUGGACUAAGCCAUGCAAGUUCCCUCUCGCAAGAGGGGUGCGAACCGCUCAGUAACACGUAGCUAAUCUUUCCUCACGUCGGUGAUAACCUCGCGAAAGUGAGGCUAAACACCGGCAUCGCACGAGGGCUGGAAUGCACGUGCGUGAAACGCAAGGCGUGAGGGUGAGGCUGCGGCUGAUUAGGUAGUUGUUGAGGUAAAAGCUCA